rnacentral:rRNA from 1 species
UACGUAGGGCGCAAGCGUUGUCCGGAAUUAUUGGGCGUAAAGAGCUCGUAGGUGGUUUGUUACGUCUGCUGUGAAAACCUAGGGCUUAACCCUGGGCCUGCAGUGGAUACGGGCAGACUAGAGGUAGGUAGGGGAGAAUGGAAUUCCCGGUGUAGCGGUGAGAUGCGCAGAUAUCGGGAGGAACACCGGUGGCGAAGGCGGUUCUCUGGGCCUGACCUGACACUGAGGAGCGAAAGCGUGGGGAGCGAACAGG